UUACGGUCAUAUGACGUUGAAACAUUGGUUCUCAUGCGAUCACUGAAAGUAAGCAACCUCGAGCCUGGUCAAUACUUAGAUGGGCGACUGCUUGUGAAUAUGAGGUGCGGUAA